UGAGGCAGACAACAUAUGUAGAAC
rnacentral:miRNA from 1 species